rnacentral:lncRNA from 1 species
CCUUACUGUAUUUCUUCUGUUUAUUAUUAUUAAGGUCUUUCCUUUUACAAAAGGGAAAGACCUUACUGUAUUUCUUCUGUUUAUUAUUAUUAUUAUUAUUAUUCUUUUUCCGCCAAACUUUGACAAAUUUAGCCGCGUUAACCGUAAGACAUGUCGCUUUCAUGUUCGCACUUUGUAUCGGUGUCAUGAAUACCUAUCUGGAACUCACCCUGUUAGUUGAAAUAUUUUGUCGGUUCGGAGUAAUCCCUCCGAAACCCAAAAGCCUUGUUAUCGUUCCAACACCGUAACCGUAAUAGGUAGAAAAAAAACAAAGGGUGAAAUUUGUUCAGGACCAGACCCCGGUUCUUCGUUACAUUUGGAUCGAAAAGAUUCAACGACUCAUUGGUAGGGUUAUGCCCCUAUGAAAAUUAACCGGUGUCGGUUGACCACCAAAACUUAGAAACCGUAAGUCGUAGACAUCUAGGAUCUUCACCAUUCAUCAUCAAUUCAUGUAUCUUUGAAAAAUACCUCAAGGUCAAAUUUGUAUGUUGACCUUGACCUUUGACCUUCCACCUUGUUAUGGGAUAAUCUUAGAAACUAUUAUACUUACAGAAGUUUUGAAUAGUGGAAAAUGUUUGGGUGAUUACAGCGCAACUUUGUUAAAUUUUGACCGAAGAGAUUUGACAUUUUUUUAAGGGGCAUAACACCUGUUUUAGGUUUCUGGAAAGACAAAAUCAGCUUUUUCUUUAUAACCAAAGGUCCUAGACCCAUGGGGUCUUCGGCAAUGACCUUUGGGACUAAUGACCUUGACAAAGGUCAAAAGGUCAAAGGUCAAGGUCAUGUCCCAUAUAGCGAAUUUAGUGUUUUUAACCUUAUUGAAAGGAUUUUCAGUGUGUUUUAAAGCUUUUCAAUACAUUCUACGUCUAUUGGAACAAGUAUUUUACAUUACAAAAAAGGAAAGACCUCUCAAUUGUUCAAGAACAAUUGACAGUUUAAUUAAGGUCUUUCCUUUUUCUAUAAGGAAAGACCUUACUGUAUUUCUUCUGUUUAUUAUUAUUCUUUUUCCGCCAAACUUUGACGAAGUUAGCAGCCUAAACCGUAAGACGUGUCGCUUUCAUGUUCUCACUUUGUAUCGGUGUCAUGAAUACCUAUCCGGAACUCACCCUGUUAGUCGAAAUAUUUUGUCGGUUCGGAGUAAUCCCUCCGAAACCAAAAAACCUUGUUAUCGUUCCAACACCGUAACCGUAAUAGAUAGAAAAAAAACGAAGGGUGAAAUUUGUUCAGGACCAGACCCCGGUUCUUCGUUACAUUUGAUUCGAAAAGAUUCAACGACUCAUUGGUAGGGUUAUGCCCCUUUGAAAAUUAACCGGUGUCGGUGGACCACCAAAACUCAGAAACCGUAAAUCGUAGAGACCUAGGAUCUUCACCAUUCAUCAACAAUUCAUGAGACUUUCAAAAAUACCUCAAGGUCAAAUGUGUAUGUUGACCUUGACCUUUGACCUAACACCUUGUUAUCAGAACAACUCAAAAACCAUUAUACUUACAGAAGUUUUAAAUAGUGGAAAAUGUUUGGGUCAUUACGGCGCAACUUUG